rnacentral:rRNA from 1 species
GGCGUGCUUAACACAUGCAAGUCGAACGGAAAGGCCCUGCUUUUGUGGGGUGCUCGAGUGGCGAACGGGUGAGUAACACGUGAGUAACCUGCCCUUGACUUUGGGAUAACUUCAGGAAACUGGGGCUAAUACCGGAUAGGAGCUCCUGCUGCAUGGUGGGGGUUGGAAAGUUUCGGCGGUUGGGGAUGGACUCGCGGCUUAUCAGCUUGUUGGUGGGGUAGUGGCUUACCAAGGCUUUGACGGGUAGCCGGCCUGAGAGGGUGACCGGCCACAUUGGGACUGAGAUACGGCCCAGACUCCUACGGGAGGCAGCAGUGGGGAAUAUUGCACAAUGGGCGGAAGCCUGAUGCAGCAACGCCGCGUGCGGGAUGACGGCCUUCGGGUUGUAAACCGCUUUCGCCUGUGACGAAGCGUGAGUGACGGUAAUGGGUAAAGAAGCACCGGCUAACUACGUGCCAGCAGCCGCGGUGAUACGUAGGGUGCGAGCGUUGUCCGGAUUUAUUGGGCGUAAAGGGCUCGUAGGUGGUUGAUCGCGUCGGAAGUGUAAUCUUGGGGCUUAACCCUGAGCGUGCUUUCGAUACGGGUUGACUUGAGGAAGGUAGGGGAGAAUGGAAUUCCUGGUGGAGCGGUGGAAUGCGCAGAUAUCAGGAGGAACACCAGUGGCGAAGGCGGUUCUCUGGGCCUUUCCUGACGCUGAGGAGCGAAAGCGUGGGGAGCGAACAGGCUUAGAUACCCUGGUAGUCCACGCUGUAAACGGUGGGUACUAGGUGUGGGGUCCAUUCCACGGGUUCCGUGCCGUAGCUAACGCUUUAAGUACCCCGCCUGGGGAGUACGGCCGCAAGGCUAAAACUCAAAGGAAUUGACGGGGCCCCGCACAAGCGGCGGAGCAUGCGGAUUAAUUCGACGCAACGCGUAGAACCUUACCUGGGUUUGACAUGGAUCGGGAGUGCUCAGAGAUGGGUGUGCCUCUUUUGGGGUCGGUUCACAGGUGGUGCAUGGCUGUCGUCAGCUCGUGUCGUGAGAUGUUGGGUUAAGUCCCGCAACGAGCGCAACCCUUGUUCACUGUUGCCAGCACGUUAUGGUGGGGACUCAGUGGAGACCGCCGGGGUCAACUCGGAGGAAGGUGGGGAUGACGUCAAGUCAUCAUGCCCCUUAUGUCCAGGGCUUCACGCAUGCUACAAUGGCUGGUACAGAGAGUGGCGAGCCUGUGAGGGUGAGCGAAUCUCGGAAAGCCGGUCUCAGUUCGGAUUGGGGUCUGCAACUCGACCUCAUGAAGUCGGAGUCGCUAGUAAUCGCAGAUCAGCAACGCUGCGGUGAAUACGUUCCCGGGGCUUGUACACACCGCCCGUCAAGUCAUGAAAGUUGGUAACACCCGAAGCCGGUGGCCUAACCAUUGUGGGGGAGCCGUCGAAGGUGGGACUGGUG